rnacentral:lncRNA from 1 species
UUUCAUUUGUUUUUUAGUAUAGUUUUGUUAAUAAAUUUGUGCGUUUUGCUUAAUUUACAUGGACUUUGAUAGAGUUUAUGGUGGUGGAAGUCAAUGUGUUGCGAGUUCGAAUUUAGUCUUGGAAAUAUAAAAAAUGGCAUCCUUCUUGCACAAGAUGCAUACGGAAACUAUGCUGUACAGUACAUUCUUGAGCUGCAGAUUCCAUCGGCUGUGUCGAAGAUGACCUCUCAGUUUAAGGGUAACUAUCGCACCUUGCCACCCAAAAGUUUAGUAGCCAUGUGGUCGAGAAAUGUUUAGCCGUGUUAGAUGCUCAAAUCAGGUCAACCAUCAUCCGUGAACUGAUCUCGGCUACUCAGUUUGAACAACUGCUUCAAGAUCCACAUGCAAAUUAUGUUAUACAA